GACGAACGCUGGCGGCGUGCUUAACACAUGCAAGUCGAACGGAAAGGCCCUGCUUUUGUGGGGUGCUCGAGUGGCGAACGGGUGAGUAACACGUGAGUAACCUGCCCUUGACUUUGGGAUAACUUCAGGAAACUGGGGCUAAUACCGGAUAGGAGCUCCUGCUGCAUGGGGGGGGUUGGAAAGUUUCGGCGGUUGGGGAUGGACUCGCGGCUUAUCAGCUUGUUGGUGUGGUAGUGGCGUACCAAGGCUUUGACGGAUAGCCGGCCUGAGAGGGUGACCGGCCACAAUGGGACUGAGGGACGGCCCAGACUCCUACGGGAGGCAGCAGGGGGGAAUAUUGCACAGUGGGCGGAAGCCUGAUGCAGAAACGCCGCGUGCGGGAUGACGGCCUUCGGGUUGUAAACCGCUUUCGCCUGUGACGAAGCGUGAGUGACGGUAAUGGGUAAAGAAGCACCGGCUAACUACGUG
rnacentral:rRNA from 1 species